rnacentral:rRNA from 1 species
GACGAACGCUGGCGGCGUGCCUAAUACAUGCAAGUUGAGCGCUGAAGGUUGGUACUUGUACCAACUGGAUGAGCAGCGAACGGGUGAGUAACGCGUGGGGAAUCUGCCUUUGAGCGGGGAACAACAUUUGGAAACGAAUGCUAAUACCGCAUAAAAACUUUAAACACAAGUUUUAAGUUUGAAAGAUGCAAUUGCAUCACUCAAAGAUGAUCCCGCGUUGUAUUAGCUAGUUGGUGAGGUAAAGGCUCACCAAGGCGAUGAUACAUAGCCGACCUGAGAGGGUGAUCGGCCACAUUGGGACUGAGACACGGCCCAAACUCCUACGGGAGGCAGCAGUAGGGAAUCUUCGGCAAUGGACGAAAGUCUGACCGAGCAACGCCGCGUGAGUGAAGAAGGUUUUCGGAUCGUAAAACUCUGUUGGUGGAGAAGAACGUUGGUGAGAGUGGAAAGCUCAUCAAGUGACGGUAACUACCCAGAAAGGGACGGCUAACUACGUG